UACGUAGGGGGCAAGCGUUGUCCGGAAUUCAUUGGGCGUAAAGAGCGUGUAGGCGGCCCGAUAAGUCCGCCGUGAAAGCCCAGGGACUCAACCCUGGGGAUGCCGGUGGAUACUGUCGGGCUAGAAUCCGGAAGAGGCGAGUGGAAUUCCUGGUGGUAGCGGUGAAAGUGCGCAGAGUAUCAGGAGGAACACCGGUGGCGAAGGCGGAUCUCUGGGCCAAUUACUGACGCUGGAGGAGCGAAAGCGUGG
rnacentral:rRNA from 1 species